GAUCAUGGCUCAGGAUGAACGCUGGCGGCGUGCCUAACACAUGCAAGUCGAACGGAGUUCUUAAGGAAUGCGACUUCGGUCAAAUGACUUUUGAACUUAGUGGCGGACGGGUGAGUAACGCGUGAGCAACCUGCCUUUCAGAGGGGGAUAACAUUUGGAAACAGAUGCUAAUACCGCAUAAGAUUACAGUACCGCAUGAUACAGUGAUCAAAGGAGCAAUCCGCUAGAAAGAUGGG
rnacentral:rRNA from 1 species